rnacentral:tRNA from 2 species
CCAUAGCUCAGUUGGUAGAGCAAAGGACUGAAAAUCCUUGUGUCCCCGGUUCGAUUCCUGGUGG